UACAGAGGGGGCAAGCGUUGUUCGGAAUUACUGGGCGUAAAGCGCGUGUAGGCGGCCCUGCAAGUCGGGUGUGAAAUCCCAUGGCUCAACCAUGGAAGUGCACUCGAAACUGCAGGGCUAGAGUCCUGGAGAGGAAGGUGGAAUGCUUGGUGUAGAGGUGAAAUUCGUAGAUAUCAAGCGGAACACCGGUGGCGAAGGCGGCCUUCUGGACCGGCAUUGACGCUGAGGAGCGAAAGCCAGGGGAGCAAACGGG
rnacentral:rRNA from 1 species